rnacentral:lncRNA from 1 species
AACCUCUCGGUUGGAAGUGGGGGUUACUUAUCACCAGAGCAACCCCUAUUGUCUAGAUGAUAUAGUAAUAAGUUUUUAAAUAACCAGUGUAGGAGUGACAAACGUGCGGGGCGGGUCGGAAUAGUUCGGGUCAAAAUUAUGAUUGUUCAUUCAAAUCGGAUAUUCGAAAUCCGAACCAAUCCGUUCAAUUUCGGAUUGGAUCGAAUUUCGGAUUGUGUUUUUAAAAUUUUGAAUUUCGGAUCGAAUUCGGAUUGAUAUAUUUUAAUCCGACCUGAUCCGAAAUACGAAAUUAUUAAGGCAUGUAUAAAUACUACACUUUAAUUCCGGAUGGUCAGUACUUCCUUUACAUCAACCUCCAAGUUAUUACCUUUAUAAUUGUAAAUUUAGCUAUCACCAUAGUGCUCUCAUAAUUACAUAAACAUGAAUUUUUCUUAAUGUAUUGUCUUUUUAACAAAGAAAAUAUACAUAUUAGUUUAACCCUGAGGCAUAAUAAUACGAUCCGAAAUUCGAUCCGAUCCGAUCCAAAUUUUAAAAUCUGAUAUAAUUCGGAUCGAAUUCGGAUUGCAUUUUCUAAAAUCCGAAAUGUGUUAAAUCUGAUCUGAUUUGAUCCGUGCACAACCCUAGUCAAAACGGGUAAUAAAAAAUAAAUAAAUUAUCCGACCUUACCCAUAUAUUAUAUGGAUAAAAAACGGGUUAACCGACGGAUAAUACGGGUAACCAUACUGUCCAUGAUUUUUUGCAUAUGACACUAGAAUUCUUAGAGGGUGUUUGGCUAAGCAUAUAAGCUAGUCAAACUGGCUUUAUCUUAUAAGCACUUUUCAGCUUAUCAACGCGACUGGUAAAGUUAAAAUUGCUAUAGAAGUCUAGUGCUUAUAAGUCAAAAAUUAGCCAAAAGCCAUAAGUUUGUCACCUCCAACUUAUGAAUUUUUAGCUUAUAAGCACUUUAUGUUUGACCAAGAUUUUUACUAUUUUAGCCUUAAAAUAUUUUAUUUUAGAACAAAACUCUCACAUCAAUACUCACUGCCUCAAAUAUUUUGUCAUAUUUAGGUUUAUUGUUUACUGAGAAACUUUUAUCAAUUUAUUAAUUAUUAUACCUUAUGAUUAUAUGAUUAUCAUAAAAUAAAUUAUAUUUAUCAUAAAAGUUAUCGUAUCUAAGCAUGGUUGCAUUUAAAAUAAGAUGACAAAUAGAAUAUUUUUGUAUUUGAAUCGAUCUGAAAUCUAAAAUUUUAAAGAAAUUACACCCUUACAGGUGUAAGCAGUUCUAAGGUAUUUAAGUCAUUUUAACAGAAAAAGAGCUCAUCGACACUUUGUUAUCAAAUAAUGUAGCAACUUAUUAUUAAUUCAGCAUUUGUACCGGAACACGUAACUGUAUAUUUAUUAAAUCUGUUUUAGCACUUAAAAGUGCUUUUCACAUAAUGCUUAUCAGCUACUUCAAAUCAACCAAUCCAAACGAGCUCUUAGUCUCUCUAACUUGAGAAACUCUCAAUUUGAGGCUUUACAAAUUUAAAAGUUAGACUCAUUAGUUAUAGAUUGGUUAUCCUUUUUUCAUUAUCCAACCUAUUUUUAGUGGAUAAUAUGGGUGGUUAACUGUUUUCUUUGAACCAUUUGGCCACCCCUAAACGAGUGUAACUUAACCUAUUAUAAAGUUUAUUUGUCUCAUUUUUUAAAUUAUUAAUUUCAAUAUACUUUAAUUAUUUUUGUGGGGGACCUAAAAGUGUGUAUCUUUUAUUUUAUAUUAUUAGUUUUAGAAGUUAAACUGUUGAAAAAGUAGUAAAAAUCAACAAAAAGAUGAAAACGAUUAUUUGUGUUAUUUCAUGUCACUCAUCACUUUUAGUAAAUGAUAUAGCAGCCAAUAUUUUGGUGUUUCCAAAGCCUACACUAUUGAUAGAGCGUUUGUCCUAAAGUCUAAAAACAUUUUGGAAAAUUUGGUCCCAAAAUGACAUUAUGGUCAAACUUUAUAAAAAAGAAAGACUAUUAUACCAAUAAGUAAUGGGAAAAUUAAACUUUAUACAAAAAUUGUUUUUUAUGAAGUUACUCUUAUUAGGGGUAGGCAUCAGUCGGUUCAGUUUGAUUUGAAUAUUAUCUGUUAUCGGUUUAUAAAUAUCAUAAUCCGAUACCAAAUCGAUAAGAUAUUGGUUAUAGGCUAUCGGUUAAUCGAUCAUCGAUCAUUAUCGAUUCAGUUAUCGAUUUACCCGAUAAGAUAAAACAAUUAAAAUAAUUUCGCAAUAUAUAAAAUUAUCGAGUUCUCAGUUAUCUUGAGCCAGAAGUGAAGAAAUAGAUCAGAUUUCUGUUGUCUUUGACAACUUUUUGAUGCAUAAAUAUAGGAUUACAAAGGUGGAAUGGAAUAUGAUUGUAUUGUUAACAAAAUAUGGUCUUGUAUCCUUAAGAACAGUUAAACAGAAGUUUACUGCUUAGGAUUUUUAAAUAUUUCAAAAAGAGAAAUACUUGUUAAAAUUAUAAGUGGAUAAUGCAACAACACCGAAUUUAUACAUUUCUUGUCAAAGCUCAUUUCAUUUCUCAUAAAACAGAAUCUCCAAAAAUGUUUAAAGACUAGAAAACGAUUAAAACAAAAUCUCAAAAAAUUAGCACCGCCCACACACAGCCCCCCCCCCCCCCCCCCNNNNNNNNNNNNNNNNNNNNNNNNNNNNNNNNNNNNNNNNNNNNNNNNNNNNNNNNNNNNNNNNNNNNNNNNNNNNNNNNNNNNNNNNNNNNNNNNNNNNNNNNNNNNNNNNNNNNNNNNNNNNNNNNNNNNNNNNNNNNNNNNNNNNNNNNNNNNNNNNNNNNNNNNNNNNNNNNNNNNNNNNNNNNNNNNNNNNNNNNNNNNNNNNNNNNNNNNNNNNNNNNNNNNNNNNNNNNNNNNNNNNNNNNNNNNNNNNNNNNNNNNNNNNNNNNNNNNNNNNNNNNNNNNNNNNNNNNNNNNNNNNNNNNNNNNNNNNNNNNNNNNNNNNNNNNNNNNNNNNNNNNNNNNNNNNNNNNNNNNNNNNNNNNNNNNNNNNNNNNNNNNNNNNNNNNNNNNNNNNNNNNNNNNNNNNNNNNNNNNNNNNNNNNNNNNNNNNNNNNNNNNNNNNNNNNNNNCCCAAAAAAAAAAAAUCAGAGCCAGAAUGCUUUCAAACAAACUAAGAAAAAAAAUGAAGAUAAAGUAACUAAAACUUACAUGCCGGCUUGAGUCUUGACGGGUUGACUAGUGAGGGUGUGAUGAGACUGGCGAGUCACGCCGGCCUGAGUCUUGAUGGGAUAACUGGUGACGGGUGAGGGCGUAAGCCGUGAGGCAAAUAAUUGGUGAGGGUGUGAGCAGUGGUGAAGCGGAGAACUGGUGAGGUGGGCUGUAGGGGUGUGGCGGAAAAAUUGAGAAAUUGAUAAAGAAAAACUGACUUACUGGGAAUUGAGAAAGAAUAGGAAAACCAAUUAUGAAACUUUAGUACAAUAUAUAUACUUAAGAGUAAACUACUAAAUUAGUUAAUUCUUAUUGGGUUAUCGGUUUUUACCCAAUAACAGAAUUGCAAACCGAGCCCGAACCGAUAACCCAAUAAAUUUCUUUUAACCCGUUAUCGAACCGUUAACCUAAUAACCUAAUAAAUAAUUAACGGUUCGCCCACCCAUACUACUGAUAACUGCUACUACUAAAAACAGCUGGCCUACUACUUAUAACUGCUACAUGAAAAAAAUUUAACUCGUUAUCGAACCGUUAACUAAAUAACUCAAUACCAAUAAUCCAAUAAAUAAUUAACGACUCAGAUUAUCGAUGUUAUCCGAUAUAUGCUCACCCCUAACUCUUACAGCUCUAAUCAGUGGUGUUAAUUAUGAAAUACAUUUAAAAAUGAGAUAAAUGAGAGUUCAUAUAAAUACUCUUACAGUUUUUGUUUUGGUAAAUUAAAUUUUAUUAUCAAAAUUAGGGCGUAAGUACAGAAGAAAAAAAGAGGAAGACUACUACUGGACAAAGUCCAAUAGCAAUCACAAAACUUCAGAAGCAACAUAAUAAGCUGUUCAUAUCUGCAAACUAUUUAUGGAGGAUUGGAGGGUAGAAAUUUUAUAGUUAAUUACUUAUUAAAUAUAUUUCUUAAAAGGUAAUAUUAAAAAUAGAUAAAAAAUGCAAUAUAGCAUCAUAUGAACCUACAAGCCCUCAGACACAUUCAAUUUAUUUGAUAGAGUUAAUACCUUAAAAUCAUCUUAAAUUAUUACUCCUUCCGUUUUAAUUUAUGUGAACUCAGUUGAUCGGGCACGAAAUUUAAGAAAAAAGAGAAGACUUUUGAACUUGUGGUGUAGAAUAAGGCACAUAUAUUUUGUGUGGUUAUAAAUCAUUGCAUAAAGGUAAAUUGUUUCCAAAUAAGGAAAGUGAUCAUUCUUUUUAGUACGGACUAAAAAAGAAAUAGGUUCACAUAAAUUGAAACGAAGAGAGUAUAUUUUUAUCAGUUUCUUACUUAAACUAUUCGGUAUCCUCAAAACCCCCUGAACUAUAUUGUUCUUCAUAUUAAACCCUCUCAUUGUUGAUCAGUCAUAACGUGUGUAAACACUCGCUUGGGAGCACGUAACGGCUAGAAAAAAUAUCAAAAUGGCUCAUAUGACAGAAAAUAAUAGUUAAUUAGCCUAGCCAUCUUUCAUAUUUAUUUUCUUUAUAAAUAUUCUCUUUCUUUCAGUUAUAUCCAUAUUUCUUUCUCAUUUUUCACUAUUUUUUCCUUUUUUUUACCUUUCUUUUUCACUAUUUUUAACCUUUUUUCUUCAGUUUUCGAUAUGGAUUUCCUCUGGAAAAAUAUUCCCUUUCUUGUUUCCUGUUAAAUGAUUUAUUUGCUUUUUAGUUUUAAUCUUCUUUCAUGUCUUACACAUUAUUGAAAGAAUAUCAAUUUAAAUCUUCUUAUUAAACUCAAUACCUUGUAAAGAAUAAAGUUGAAUAUCUUGAACCUUCUUUAUGUAAUAUUAAAUUAGAGAAUAUAAUUAUUGGACAAUUGAUUUUUUAUUCACGAAAUUUUAUCUUGAGUAUUGUUUUUAUGUAAUACAAGAUAUAUUUUAAGAAAUGCAACAUUAUAUGCCUUUAUUUGUAUUUAUUUGGAGUUAAGCAUAAAGUGUCAAUCACAAUUAAACCUAAAAUUAACACCGUACAUUAAAUACUAUUAUGACUAAAACUCCUAAAAUUAAUCAAUCAUCCAAAAGUAACACAUCAUGAGCAAAUUAUAUAAAAAAGAAUAUAGUUCAAGGGAUUUUUGGAACACCAGAUAAUUUAAAUAGGUAACUGACAAAAAGUGAUAGUUUAGAUGGGUUUUAGGCUGAGUUAAAUAAUCACAUAUAGUGUUACAUGACACAUUUUUUAAAUCAUUAGAAAUAUGUAUUACACGUACUUCUAAAAAUAUAAUGAGGGGGUUUUACUAUGAAGGGUAAUAUAAUUCAGGGGUUUUAAGAAUACCGAAUAAUUUAAGCAAAAAACUGAUAAAAAUACAUACUGUUUAGCAAAAUUUCAGGAUAUUAACUCUAUUGGAUACUUUGUUUUGUCCGAUCCAAAAAGUCUUAGAUGUAAAGUUAUCUAAUAGAACAAAUUUUGAUUUUGCAACUUUAACUUUUUAAUUGGGCAACUCAAUUAGUACACUUUAAAGAACGUGUAAUAUUAGUAUCUAUUAUUUAGUCAAAUAAUCUUACUACACUUUAGUUACUAAUACUUUUUUAUUUUUGUCUUUGUUUUUGAUGUUUCUUUUUUUUAUUGAGUCGAGGGUCGAUUGGAAAUAAUAUUUUUGCCCUUUCGAAUUAGGGGUAAAGUCUGUCUACAUAUUACCUUCCCCAGACCUUACUUUGUGAGACUAUACUGGAUAGUUUUUGUUGUUAAUCUUACUACACUUUCUUACUUGAUGGCUAAGUUUGAACUCUACAGCAAAGAUCAUAUGAUCACACCAAAAAUCCAGUUUAAAAAGGAUUUUUUUUGGGUAUUACUCCCUUCAGUUUAAAUAAAUAUCUCUUUUACUUUUUGAUUUUGGUCCAAAAUAAGUGUUUAGUUAGAUAAUAAAAAAAAUUAAUUUAUUUUUAUUUUUUUACCUUUAUAUGCAGAAGAGUAAUAAAUGCCACUACUAUCAAGGAUAAUUUAGUCAUACUAAGUAAUUUUGUAUAGGAUUUAGUAUUUUCUUAAUAAGCGUACUAAAAUUAAAAAAAACACUUAUUAUGAACCAGAAAUCGUAGUUAUUAAUAUUGCAUUAAAAUAAGUUACCUGCGUCAUCUUCUUGGAAUACGAUCCUUCUCCGCACAAUCAUUUACUAACUUAUAUAUACUUCUCUCAUCUUCUUGAAAUACUAUCCUUCCCCAUACAAAUCAUUUACUAACUUAUAUAUACUCAUAGCAUAACAGAAUUUAUACUAUCAAUACAGUUUAGUAUGCGAUAACAGAUCACUUAUUAUCUUUGCUAGGUUAUUUAUUAAUAGUACUAUAAAUAUAUCUAUAAUUAACCUAUUAAUAAGGUAAUUGUGCCAAUAUUUACAUCAAAUAUUAUUGUUUACAUACAAACGGUGUACUGAACUUAAAUCUUAUAAAAAAAAUAUGAAAUGGCCAAAUAUAUCCUUCUGUUUUUAUUUAUUAUUCAAUUAUAUGCCAGUUAUAUUUUCUGUUUAUGUAUUCCGGUGUCGUCCAAUAAAGUUUUAUAUUUACCCUUAUUUUAACGGACAUGACAUGAUGCGCGGUUUGAUUGAAAGAACCAUAGAAAAAGAAAGAAAACCAAAUAUGCCUAAAAUAUGACCCAUCCGACCCGGUUCUACUUUUUAAAAAUUUGCCUAAAAUUAAAACUCAUUUCUUCUUCCCCUCCCCCCUUCCAACAACCAUCACAAUGAGUUGCAAUCUUAAAGAAAGAAGGCAUCAGAUUGAAACUGUAAUUUUCAAUAAGGUUAAUAUAAAGCAUAAGAUUUGGCGAGUAAACAAGGAUCAAACACAUAAUAUAUACUAAUCUUCCAAUUUUUCAAAUAGAAUAGACAAAUCCCAUUCAAGAGAACUAGGAGCAGUAGCAGCGCCUAUUCGUCCAGUCAAAUCUCAAUGUUUGUGGGGCUCUAAAUCCCGACAAUCAAUGAAGGAAGAUUAUACCAUUGAGAGUGUAAAUUUUUUAAAAAUAACGUCGUAUUGUGCGCCCAUCGUUUUCUCUACUUUUUUCGGCAAUUACUUGGCCGGGAAACGAUCACUGUAACGAUUUGAUCGAUCGUUUUGAGCUUUAACACAUCGUUUAGCAAUUUGAGCCCAUGAGCAGCUUCGCUUCAGGUAUUAUGACUCGUACGCAAGGUCGAAAUUGAAUUCCGGAAAGUUCAGAGUUAAUUUGGAAAGAGCAUUUUCAUUUCGGAAGCUUUAAGUUGGAAGAACUGGCUAAGAUUAGAUUUUUUGGAGUAACCGACCUCGGAAUUGGGAUUUGAAGAUUCCAACAAGUUCGUAUAAUGAAUCCGGACUUGGGUGUAUGCCCCCGAUGGGGUUUUGGAUAACCCCGAAGCGUUUUGGCACCUAUUUCUAAGUAUAUUUUUUUCAAAAGUAUUUUUUUUAAAAAUGCUUCCCGGGAGGAAUUAUUUUUUCAGCUUCUCAAAAACUGUUUCUGUUUUUACUCAAAAGCAAGUUUUUUCCUUCAAAAAAGCUUGGCCAAACACCAGAACUUAGAGGGAAAAAAUACUUUUGACCAAGAAAAAAGCUUGGCCAAACAGACUAUAAAAAGAUGUAAUACUAUGUAUUAAAAAUCUUUGAAUUUUGAGAUAUUAAAAAUGUCAUAUAAAAAAUUAAACUUAAAGAGUUACUAAGGGCUCGUUCGGCCAUAAAAAAUAUCUUUUUUUUCAAAAUUAGUGUUUAGCCAUAAGAAUAAUAAAGUAGUUUUUACUUGACAUUGAAUUUCAAAAAAUUUUAAAAAUUUUAAAAACUCCAAAAGGAGGAAAACUAUACUUCCAAUCACUCACAAAAGUUCAAAAACAGUUUCAAAUUGUAUUUACAUCCAAACACAAUUCUAAUUUUUAGAUACCAUUUUUAAUUGCUUAUUAUUUUUUACCUUAUUAUAGAAUAUCAAAAGUCUUAUUUCCAAAUGCCCCCUAAAUAUGAAAAUUUAAAAAACUCCGGAAAGGGAAAAUUAUACUUCAAAUUACUCAUAAAAGUUCAAAAACAGCUUCAAAUUGUAUUUAUAUCUAAACACAACUCUAAUUUUUUAAUUUUCAUAUAUCCUUUUUACUUGUUUUUUUCCUUUUUAUAGAUUUUCAAAAAUCUUAUUUCCAAACGCCCACUAAAUAUGAAUAAAAAAUAUUUUUUUAACAAAUAUAAAAAGAAAAAUAAGACGCAUAAACAAAUUAAAAAAAGUAAGACAUAUAAAUUGAAGGAAAUAACAGCGUUAUAACUCAAAUUACAUAGUUGCAAUCACAACAACAGGCAGCAGAAAGUACUGUAUGAUCAUUCAUUCAACAGCAGAAUAUUAUUAGCUGACUAUUAUUAGCUGGAUACACCAACAUAACCACUGUCCUCAAAUUGGUCCAUUCUUCUAGGAAUACUAUGUACUUUUUAAUACUACAAUAAUUACACCAUAAUCUCCUUAAUUUUCUACUUUUCACACACACUUACACUUUUUCUCUCUUCUUCUCACUCUCUUUUUUUUUCAACAGCCAUGCAAAUUUUAAUGCUAAAUUUCCUGUCCUUUUUUCCUACUGUAAACUCAGUCCACUCCUCCCUAUGUACCUUGUCUUCUUCAACUAGCAGCAGCCGUUUUCAUUGACCAAAUACAAAAAAAGCAGAGCAGAGCAGAGCAUUUGUACACAACAAUGCUUUUACCUUAACCAUAAAGUUUUCAUAUUUUUUUCUCUUUUUGAACAACUUGUUCUUCUUCUUCUUGAUUCUUGAUUCAGUGCAGCAUUUUGUAUACUAUGGUGUUUUUCUUCUUCUUCCUCCUUUUCCUUUUCUGCUCAACCCUCUGUACAUCAUUCGCCGCCGUCUCCGCCCACAACCGCCGUGUUCCCCACGAAUCUUUUUGUCCAGCAGACUCACCAUCACCAUCUCAACCCCCCUUACCCUCUCCCCCGUCCCCUCCUACUCCUUACCCAUUCCAAGCUUCAACUCCUGAUAAUAACAACCCCUUCUUCCCCACCUACCCCUCUCCACCACCCCCACCCUCCCCUUCUUCAGUCGUUUCAUUUCCUGCUAAUAUCUCUGAUAUUAACCUCCCAAAUGCCUCCAAGUCUAAGCAUGUUUCCUCUAAGCUCAUUAUCACUGCCAUUACUUGUGUUCUUGCUGCUAUCGUUGUUCUUUCCAUCGCCAUAUGCUUGCACGCAAAGAAAAGGAGGCUCCAUCUUAAUGACCCAAAAACUCAAAGAUCUAGUAAUAGUAAUAGAUUGAAUCAUAGUAGUAGUAAAAAUGAUGGUAAUACUAGUAGUAGUAGUAUUCCUAAGCUUCAACAACGAUCUCAAACUAGUUCAGAGUUUCUCUAUUUGGGUACUAUUGUCAACUCACAUGGCGGCAUUAAUAGUAGUAGUAACCCUAAUACAGCUCCAUCUUCAAGAAAAAUGGCCUCCCCAGAGCUCCGUCCACUUCCGCCGUUAAAUGGACGGAAUUUAAGUGAAAAUUUCAGGAAUACCCGUAAUGAUGAUUUUUACUCUACUGAGGAGUCUGUGGGUUAUAUAGAGAGCUCUUUUGGAGCUGGAUCAUUGUCACGUAGAGAUUUUGCUGCUGUUGAAGUGGAUACAUUUGUCGGGUCGAGUUUGUCGGGUUCGGAUUCAUCAUCUAGAGGGUCGGGUUCGCCGAGCCGGUCUGUAUCUUUGAGCAUUUCUCCUCCGGCGAGUCCAAAAAGGGAAAGUUGUUCAAGACCUAAGUCGCCGGAACUGGUCGCCGUUGUAACCCCUCCGCCACCUCAGCGUCCACCUCCUCCUCCACCUCCAUUUGCAAAGCCUGUAAAUGGGCCUCAAGUUAAGGUAUCUGCAAAUAAUAGUCCAGUAUUGAUUUCUCCUAUGGGAAAAAAUGAUGAAAAUGUUGAGAGCUUUUCUAUUGAGAAAAAUGAGGAGAAAAGUGAAGACUUGCAUUGGGAUAAAGUAAGAGCAAAUUCGGAUCGUGAAAUGGUGUGGGAUCAACAGAAAUCAAGCUCAUUUAAGUAUGAUAAUCUGAACUCUUGCUACUGAUUAUAUUGUCAUUAUAGAUAUUCAUUAACUUUUUUAGUGUAAGUUGAAUUGAGCUGGUUUAUAUAUGCAGAUUGAAUGAAGAGAUGAUAGAAACAUUGUUUGUUGUGAAGAAUCCAGCUCUGAGUACAAGCGCAACAGCUAGACACCCUGUUGUUCCCUCAAUGAGCCAAGAAAAUAGGGUACUUGAUCCAAAGAAGUCACAGAACAUUGCAAUUUUGCUGAGUGCUCUAAAUGUAACCACAGAGGAAAUAUGUGAAGCCCUCUUAGAAGGUAUACUUUGGUUCUAACAUUCUUUGAGGAGUUUAAUGUUUGAUAGUAUAAAAUAGCUUCUAUGCUAUCAUGUUACCUUAAUGAUAACUACAUGUAACCGUCUAUAGAAGGGGAGCCUUGGUGUAACUUGUAAAAGUUGUUGCCAUGUGACCAGUCGGUCACGGGUUCAAGCCGCGGAAACAGCCUCUGCAUAAAUCUAGUCUGAGACUCAACAGACCUUUGUAGGUCAGGCCUUCCCUAAACCGGUGCAUAACGGGAGUUUAGUGCAUGGGGCUGCCCUACAUGUAACCGUUCAUAAAAAGUGGGAUUUUAACCUGAAAGGUAAGGCAAGUUAACUUACACUACAGGAUAAACUACAAUAGUUUUACAAUCUUUACACUGCCAUUGUAUAUGAGUUAAAUACUCUUUGAAUUGAAAAUUAAGAGCUGAAAAAUGAGAGGAAUGAUGGAAAUGCGCGUGUAUUGCUGACAAAAACUUCUGUUGCCGUAAAAUGAAAAUAGUUAGUUAAUUAAUUCUAUUGUGAGAAUACAACUUGCAAACUGUGUCCUUAUAAAGCUUUCCUACUACAGGCAGCAUGUGAAGAGUUGAGAAGUAGCAGAAUGUUCUUAAAGCUUCUAGAAGCAGUGCUGAAGACGGGAAAUCGCAUGAAUGUUGGGACAAAUAGGGGUGAUGCUCAUGCCUUCAAACUUGACACACUGCUAAAGCUUGUGGAUGUGAAGGGAGCAGAUGGGAAAACAACCCUCUUGCAUUUUGUAGUUCAGGAGAUUAUAAAAAGUGAAGGUGCUCGUCUUUCUGCUGGAAAGCAGAAUCAACAAUCUACUACCAAUGACGACGCUAAGUGCAAGAAGCUUGGCCUCCAAGUUGUUUCCAACAUUAGUUCAGAACUUACAACAUUGCUGAGGUUGUGCGAUCCAUUGAAGCUGUCGGAUUGGAGGAAAACAGUACUAAAAGAUUCUCCAAGUCCAUGAACAGGUUUAUGAAAGUAGCAAAAGAGAAGAUUUCAAAGCUCCAAGCUCAAGAAAUGUUGGCCAUGUCGCUGGUGAAAGAAAUAACCGAGUAUGUCCACGGAGAUUCAGCUAGAGAAGAGGCUCACCCUUUCAGAAUAUUCAUAGUUGUCAAAGACUUCCUAACGAUUCUUGAUCGUGUUUGCAAGGAAGUUGGAAUGAUAAAUGAGCGGACGAUAGUUAGUUCUGCUCAAAAGUUUCCAGUUCCAGUUGAUCCAAAUCUACAACCUGUCAUUAGUGGAUUCAGAGCUAAACGGCAGCAUAGUUCCUCUGAUGAGGAAAGCUCAUCUCCUUAGUAGAAUUAUUUGGUCAUAACAGGCAAAUGCUAGUUUUUAGUUUUGGCCAAAACCAAUGUAAUCUAUUAUAUAGGAGGCAUAGGAGUUUGCCAUAGAUUGUGCAGAACUAUUUAGGGAUAUGCAACUCUUUUAUCUAUCUGAAUUUUGUAUUAUAUUAGAUCAUUCUAUAAGAUAAUUGGGAAAUUCUAUUUCUUUUGGCAUGAUAGAGCAGAUUUUCUUCAGCAAGAUAAAGCAAAAACUUUCUUGUAAGUUCACCAUGGUAACCGAAGGUGUUAAGAGAGGACGAAGUAGACCUAAAAUCACAUGAAGAAACUUGUUUAAAAGGAUCAAUCAUUUCUUGGAAUUCAUGCGGAUUUUGCAAAAGAUAAGACACAAUCAAAAAAAUAUAUCUAUAUAGGUGAUAUCGAUUGUUUGGAAAUAUGUUUGUCAUGUUAAUAUUUUGAGCUGAGAUUCUAUCGGAAACAGCCUAUCUAUCUCCCAAGUAUAAGGGUAAGAUCUGUGCAUACACUGCCCUUCCAGACAUCGACUAGGUUUUUUAUUAUUGUUGUUGUUGCCUUAUGCUUUGUAGGACUCCUUUAACCCUAUCAAUGGUUUUUAUGCCAAUAGAAAAUAUACAGAACUUCGAAUAUUUUUUUUUGUUUUUAUUUUUGUAAUGUUAGCUUGAGAUAAAUUUAAAUGGCAAAAUAUGAUUAGUGGGGAUUCAUGCAGUCGAUCACAACUUAUUUGGUCGCAAGUCAAUAGGAUCAAGAGCUUCUAGAAGCAAAUAAUGCAAGGUUUGGCAAGAAUAACGUAUAAAGCAGAAAUAGGAACUAUUCAUAAUAUGAUUAGGAUUGAUAAUGAAAUAGGAUUCUCCAUCAGAAAAAGCAUCUCAAGUUUUAGACCGUUGUUGGAAAAGAAUUUACCGUAUUAAAGUGUGGAAAGCAAAAAUCAUGUAAUCAAAAUUAGAGCUGAAAAAUGAAAGGCAGAAAUCAUGCCUCUUUCCAAAUCCAAAUUUUGUUGAGUUCAUUGGACUAAAUUGUACACUUAAAAUUAAAGCAUAUUUAACAAAUGGCCUCAUUGGCCUAAACUGAGUUACACCUCAAUACUCUGUAUAAAUAAUCUACUAGAAAAACUAGACAAAAAAGGUGUCAUUGAACGAACAAAUGUUAAAUUGUGUGACCACCUCGUUUAAAAUAUUAUGCUUGUAAGUAGCAAAAACGCCUUCCAAAAUAGCAAUAAUCAAAGGAGAGAAAAGGAGAGAGUAAAAGCAUUCUCACAGCCUAAAUAAUAGGAAAGUCCAGUUCAAACCUUCAUCAACCAAUAUCUAAAGCAGUAACGGUAGCCCAGUGCACUAAGAUCCCGCUAUGCAUGGGGUCCGGGGAAGGACCAGACCACAAGGGUCUAUUGUACGCAGCCUUAUCCUACAUUUCUGCAAGAGGUUGUUUCUACUAAUAUCUAAAACAGUGACACAGUUAAAUGCACAUCAUGAAUAUUUAAGUCACUUCCCUCCCUUCAACCUUAAUACAAGGAAUAAAAAAAGGGUCGCCAGGUACACAAAGCAUCCCACAUUUAUGCAAGGUUCAGAGAAAGGCCACACCCCAACGGGAUAUGAUGUAGGCACCAAUACCCUGAUACAAGCAUCAAUAGCCGAUUCCACGGCUCGAACCCCUGACCUAUAGGUCACACGAAGACAACUUGAUUGUUGCUCCAAGGCUCCCCCAUCAACCAGAAUACAAGGAUCUGGGGAAAAAAAUUUAACUAACAUCUAAUCUGUAUAGGAACUAAUCAGGAAGAAGAAAAAAAACAAAGAAAAAGAGAGAUAAGAGACAGAGACAUCUAAUCUGUAUAAAUCUCUUCAGCAGGAAAAAUACAGAAAAGGAAACACAAAUUACAUAGGUGGGUAAGCUAUGAAGAAGGGACUUACAGUAGAAUAAUCAAUAUAGAUAGUGAACGUGGUAUUUGUACAGGAUAGAAAAAGAUUAUGCAGAACAGACAACAACCUACAAUUACAGAAGACUACUAUGAUUCUAUAUUAAGUACUGUAUCAUACUUACUCAACCAUUAACGAACAACUAGCCUCUUUUACUUAUUGAGCAACGAUGAGUUCGUCCAGUUGAUGUCCGCCAUCAUCACUUUCUGAAGGCAUCAUCAAAAUGUCAUCUUCAGUUGUGAAAUGAUAUCGCUCUCCGAUGGCUCUCAGAAACUGGUACACUUCAAACAUUGUCGGCCUCUCCUUAGGAGCAGACAACACACAUCGACAAGCAACUUUAAGGACUUGGAAAAUCUCACUGUCAUAACCUUUACCAGACAACGAAUGGUCAAUUGCAUCGUGAAGCUUAGAUUCACCAGAGAGAUUUGAAAUCCAUUCCACGAGAUUUCCCUUAAAGGUCUCGGGAGCUUUGGUGACAGAGGUUGGCCUCUCACCAGUUACUAACUCAAGAAGUACAACACCAAAACUGUACACAUCACCUUUUGGUGUAGCCAUAAGAGUGCGAGCGUACUCAGGAGCAACAUAACCAAAGUCACCAAAUUCUCCAUUGACAAAGGUACUCAAAUGAGUGUCAAUUGGAUUCAUGAGCCUAGCGAGUCCAAAAUCUACCAAAUUCUCCAUUGACGAAGGUACUCAAAUGAGUGUCAAUUGGAUUCAUAAGCCUAGCAAGUCCAAAAUCUGAUAUUUUUGGUUCGAAUUCCACGUCCAACAAGAUGCAUUUAGAACUAAUGUUUCUGUGAAUAAUACGAGGAUUGCAGUUGUGGUGAAGCCAUGCAAAUCCUUUGGCUGCUCCAAGGCCAAUCUUAAGUCUCAUAGGCCACUCGAGAGUUUUUUCCCCUUCACUCACCGAAUGUAACUUGUCAUGCAAGGUGCCAUUUAGCAUGUCCUUGUAGACCAACAGCCUUUCUUUUUUUGCCAUGCAGAAACCUAUCGUGCAAGGUGCCAUUUGGCAUGUCCUUGUAGACCAACAGCCUUUCUUUUUUUGCCAUGCAGAAACCUAAAAGAGGAACCAAGUUACGGUGCUUUACCUUUCCCAAAGUAUCCAUCUCAGAAACAAACUCUUUCUCUGAAUGUUGAGUAUUCU